GUGCCAGCCGCCGCGGUAAUACCGGCAGCACGAGUGAUGACCGAUAUUAUUGGGCCUAAAGCGUCCGUAGCUGGCCAAGCAAGUCCAUUGGGAAAUCGACGUGCUCAACGCGUCGGCGUCCGGUGGAAACUGUUUGGCUUGGGGCCAGAAGACCUGAGGGGUACGUCCGGGGUAGGAGUGAAAUCCUGUAAUCCUGGACGGACCACCAAUGGGGAAACCACCUCAGGAGGAUGGACCCGACAGUGAGGGACGAAAGCUAGGGUCUCGAACCGGAUUAGAUACCCUGGUAGUCC
rnacentral:rRNA from 1 species